rnacentral:antisense_RNA from 1 species
CGUUAUGGUGGCUCGGGCGGGGCAGCCUUCGGGCUGGCCGGUUUCCUCUGGAUGCGCCGGUAGUUCCAACCCCGUUCGGGCUACCACCAUG